UGAAGUUGCCGAGUAACUUCUGGUGCCUGUGUACUGGUUUGGGCUUUUUCACAUGUACAUAACAUAGAGGGCUAAUGACCUUGAAAAAAUUGAGACAUCGCUAGAUCUAAAAAGGAUCUUAGCCUAAGUGGAAGAAGUCAGGGGUUAGAUAUGAUGACCAGCGAAAUAAAAGCCCUGUGAGGAGAUGGGAGUGGUCUCCAAGACUAAGCUUCUUCGAUAAAGAAGUUAUGCUUCUGAUGAGGACAGUGCUCAGGACUGUGUUUCCUGAGCUGAGCACGUUAGGCUGGAAGGCAGCCAGGAACUGGUCCCACAUCUGCUGCACCUCCAGAGGGGCAAAGCCCUCGUAGGGCAGUAGGCCGCACGCCCCAAGUACCCAGGGGCACACAGUUUCGUACGGGACAGUUUGGGGUGCUGUUUGCAGUUGAGAAAUUAUUCAUCUUUUUGUUGGGAAACAAACUAUUUUUCUGAAAAAUAGACCUACUCAAGAGCAUCUCCAGCUGAUUUCCACCAAACAAUAUAUUGCAGUAAUGUACUUUUCCAUCUCAUUUUGUGACUAUAUAAAGGCAAUAUCAAGAAAAAACAAACCAACCAGUCAGGUUGCAGUCAGGAAAUCAUCCUUUUUAGCCAUGCCACUAACGCUAGAGUAAACUGACUUUGUGUUUUUGAGGGUUUUAUGAACCAGUUUUAAAUACACUCAGAUCAUUAAGAAUUAGUUUAACUUAAACUCCUCUGGGAAAGAAACUAGUGUACAACAAUCUUACUUUAAAUACACAGGAAUUGCUAAAAGUUGCAUCGUACACUAUCACUAACCUGCAUUAGCUUUCAGCACCAAAGUAAAUUUAAGUUUCACUGAGGAGAUGAAGAUGCCAUUCAGAAACGGAUGUUCAAGUGUCAUGAAAAGCAACUGCCUUACUGAACAAAUGAACUUCUUUACAGCAUUAACAAAAGUACAGACAGGUUAAAUAACAGAUGCACUGUUCAAUGUUUUUAGAUGGUGUAAGUAACCAUGUCUACAAAUCAUGAAAUAUUGCCGUCUUUCUGGAAAUUGAUAUUAAUCUCCUCGGAACACGUGCCCCUACACUCAGGACGCACUGCAAGGUUGCCCACAAGAAAUUCGUACAUUGGAAAAAGAAGAAAAAGAAAGAACUGACAUACAUGACACGUUCAUAAGAAUAAUUGAGCUGGUGAAGCACAAGUCCCGGCUUUUUCCUGGGAGUAUUGCGUUUUACAGAAAAAAGAGAGAGGAAAAAAAAGUGUUUCCAUUUAGCAGUGAUCUAUAUUUGCUAGAUGUUUUCUAAUUUUGAAAAUGAUUCUAUUUAACAAUU